CGUGAACCAGUGGGGUCCCUCAGCCUGGCCUGUGCCCCUUUCACAAUCCGGGACCCCUUGGGGGAUGUUAGAGAGCCAAUUUUGGCCUGAUCCCUACAGGCCAGGCUGAGGGACUCCACCGGUGCAUG
rnacentral:pre_miRNA from 1 species